CUACGGGUCGCAGCAGUGGGGAAUUUUGCGCAAUGGGGGAAACCCUGACGCAGCGAUACCGCGUGAGUGAAGAAGGCCUUUGGGUCGUAAAGCUCUUUUCUAAGGGAAGAUAGUGACGGUACCUUAGGAAUAAGCGCCGGCUAACUCCGUGCCAGCAGCCGCGGUAAUACGGAGGGCGCGAGCGUUGUUCGGAUUUACUGGGCGUAAAGGGCGCGUAGGCGGCCUGGCAAGUUAAGGGUGAAAUCCCGGGGCUCAACCCCGGAACUGCUCUUAAAACUGCCAAGCUAGAGAUGGUCAGAGGCGGGUGGAAUUCCAGGUGUAGAGGUGAAAUUCGUAGAUAUCUGGAGGAACACCGGUGGCGAAGGCGGCCCGCUGGGGCCGUUCUGACGCUGAGGCGCGAAAGCGUGGGGAGCGAACGGGAUUAGAUACCCGGGUAGUC
rnacentral:rRNA from 1 species